AAUACUACCAUAUUUAGCUAUCCUUCCUUUAUUAAUCACAAAAAAUGUUCCUCAACACAAUAGGUGUUUAGUGUCGUUUAGCCUAUCACCGACCAUAUAAGUAUACAUUUAAAGCCUGUCCACGUUUAAUUUCGGACACUUAGGUAAUGUCCAAUUGAUUUGUCGUCAUUUUAUCAAUUUGAGCGUGUUUAAAGCAUGCUGAAAGCAUUACAUAAUGCAGAAAGUGUAACCGAUGGUUUCAAAAUUAUCGCAUUGGCUCCACCAAAUGCGGGAAUUUGGGCGACCUCCUUUAUACGCCACUGGUCUAAUGGGAUAGGUGCUGCCAUCUAUGUCUGAGGUCGCGGGAGUUCAUUUUCGAAACAAAUUUAAGGUAAACCGUAUAUGGGAAUUUCAGUUCAUAAAAUCAAUAUGGUUCUCGAUAUGGACACUAGAGGGACUGUCAAAAUCAGUAUACAAUACAGAUGAAUUACCAAUACUUAUAAAAUAUAGACUUCUUGCUAGCAUGAUUGAACUAAUUCUUUCUUUCUGGCUCAAGACUUCAAGAAAGUUAGAAGUGCGCGGCGCGUGUUAAAAGUCGAGUUAUAGUUAUUCCUUAAAAGCUAAUUGUUAAAAAGCUUAAAAUAAAGUGUUAGUAGUGCAGUUAGUAAAUUAUUAAAGGGUGCUGUGUGGCUAAUAAAAGCGGUUCGCAUUCCAAGGGAAUUGCGUGCCACUGAACCUAGUGGAAAAAGGUAAAUGGAUCAAAAUGAUUGUAAAAGUCGUCGAAUGAAAUCUUAUCAGGUCACUAAUAUCAACCUGAACAGGCCUAACGAGGCCUUUUUCCAUUUGUUUAGGCCAGUCGUCUGGAUUUUCGGGAGAAACUGGUCCCAAACGCCCAACUUGCAUCUAUUUUGGAAUUUUCCAGAACAAAUCAAAUCCCUGAGCCAGAAAUCUUCCCUGCUGAUACUCCUUUGGGGUUAAUAGCAGAAGAGGGAUCCUCGACAUCACCAUAGUCCCACCACGUUUUUGGGACUUUUGUUAGACCAUUCUGAUCCGGAGUUCGACGCCAUUGUUGGAGACGCCAUCUUGAAUCGACAGGCCGAAUCGAUCGCUGAAAUAUCUUGGAAGUGAACCGGACCCCGGCGAUAAUAGGCCCGGUCUACCCCCACGCAGCGACAGAGAAAAUAAUUGUUGCACUUCCCACCAGAGGUUCUCCACCAUCGCUCCACCGUCAAGUCGGUUGAUUGGCCAAUCACUAUUGGUUCAUUCGGGCGACUUUUAUGUGUAGCAGAUCGAUCCAGAGGUUCCCCACCAUCACCGUAAGUGAGCCACCGAUCCACAGCAUCCAGAUAAACCGUAAGUCGCGCUGGUAUUAUUAAUUAAACCUAAAUUUCGUGCAAUAGGCAGUUACGUAAAUCGUGAUCACGAGGUUAGGCAAAUCUAGCUAGGUAUCCAAAAGUAAGCUAAAUAAAUAGCAUGAUGUUUGUACAACAAUUGUAUUUACCUAAAACCACCUAGCUUUCUAUUAGGAAAAGAAAUUUGAUGAUCUUAGAAAUCACAUUAUUUAAUUAAUUUCGCCCUAAAUUCGAUGCAAACUUUUUAAAACAAAAGUUUCCCACCCCUCGUUUUCUGAAAUCUUUCAGAGGGUAGAAAAGGUAAGAUCGAGCUAGCAAGUUGGUUUCAACCCUGGUAAAUGAACCUCGAGAGUUCAUCUAAAAUUAUGUUGUGAUUAUGCUGACCCUUCCCUGUAUCGAAAUGUAAACAAUUCGCAUAAAACGACCCUGGGAGUUUCCGAUUCACAUUUGAAUCCAGGAACGUUACAAAGGAGUUAUAAAAGAUUCAGCGGUCAUGUAAAUUGAUCGUCUCACUAGUUUGUGAAACUUUUUAAAAAUCGC